rnacentral:rRNA from 1 species
GAUGAACGCUGGCGGCGUGCCUAACACAUGCAAGUCGAACGAGAAGCUCGCUUCUGAUCCCUUCGGGGAGAGGAAGUGGGCAGAAAGUGGCGAACGGGUGAGUAACGCGUGGGUAAUCUACCCUGUAAGUGGGGGAUAACCCUCCGAAAGGAGGGCUAAUACCGCAUAAUAUCUUCCUCCCACAAGAGAAGAAGAUUAAAGAUGGCCUCUAUACUAUGCUAUCGCUCCAGGAUGAGCCUGCGUCCUAUUAGUUAGUUGGUGGGGUAACGGCCUACCAAGACCACAAUGGGUAGCCGGUCUGAGAGGAUGUACGGCCACACUGGGACUGAGAUACGGCCCAGACU